rnacentral:misc_RNA from 1 species
AAGUCGUAACAAGGUUUCCGUAGGUGAACCUGCGGAAGGAUCAUUAUGAAUUGCGUUAGUUUCUCUUUACCGAGAGGCUAAUUCUUUUCUGUGAACUGGGUGUGACUCGCCCUCUUCUCUUUGUCGUUUGUCUUCAUUGCUUUUCGUUCGCGUUGGGUAUUGUGAGGCAAGCGGGAAAGGGGGAAGAGAGUGAGUUGUGCCGGGUGCGUGUGACUUUGUUUCUCUCUUUUCGCGUUUUCGUUUUGGUUGCCUUUCGCUUGCGUUGGGCAGCCGAGAUGGAGACGUUGGAAGUGGAGGAGCGAGUCGUGCGCACUGCCAUUUGUAGUCUGUUGUGUUCUGUUCUUAAAGUUUUCUGUAAAAAGACAACUUUCAGCAAUGGAUCUCUUGGCUCUU